GCAUAUUUGCUGAAGAUGCUUUCAAAGUAAUAGGAGUAGAGCUCAACUUCUUCUAUGAAGUUCUCUACACGAAAGCAGUCGUUGUUCACUCCAAGUGGGGCAUGUUUUUCCGCUUCAUAUCCUCUAGUUCAGUCGUGGUAGCCCUUGCCAUCUUCCAUUUCUAGGUAAAAAAGUAUGCUUUCAACAAGAUUGAUGUUGAGAUUACUUAUUUUCUGCUGUUUGGUGCCAUAGGACUCGAUACAUUAUCCUUCCUCAUGGCCACUUUCUCCAACUGGACACUGGUGACUGUCCUAGAGAAAUUCAGAUCCUCUCAUUGGGCAUUGAGU
rnacentral:misc_RNA from 1 species